rnacentral:pre_miRNA from 1 species
CUAUAGAUCAUGGAAGAGUGCAGUGUUUGAUGUCUGUAGAUUAUGGAAGUGUGCAGUGUUUGAUGUCUAUAGAUCAUAUCUACAGACAUCAAACACUGCACUCUUCCAUGAUCUAC